rnacentral:lncRNA from 1 species
GAUAUAAUAGCCGACCUCCGGCCCAGAACUCGAGACAACGACAGGGGCUCGCUCUGUGCGGCACUUCCUGUGUCUGCGCGGGAUGAUAACGCAUAAAACAGCGCUUGCUCAGGUCCAGGACGCCAGAAGAAACAGCCCGGUGAGCGCACUUCCGACUUCGGCGCGGGCUGUGACGCAGGAAUCGGGACUCCGGAGGAGCGACGCCCACUUUUGGAGCAGUUUGCGCCUGCGCGGAACGCGUGGCCGGCUUCCGGAAUCCUACCGGGACUUUUCCGGUAGCGAAGCCCGCGCCUGUGCCAAGGCUUGCGAGCAGAAUGCCUUCGCGAUGGACGCCCGCAUUCCACCCCCUUGACCGCUGGGACCCCUAGUGGCGGGUGGGUGGAGCGCGCUCCAUUUACCUGCUGGUUACCUCGUGAGGCGCCUCAGUGAAAUACUUCCAGGCCUUCGAAAGGCCAUCCUUUGGACACAUGUAAAAAGCUGUCUUGUUGGCCUGUUAUUCCCACUGACCCGUCUGAGUGAUCACCCAGGAGCGCGGCGGCAGCAAGCAGAGCUCACCGGAUUUGGGACAAGGAUUUUAAAGGCAGCUACAAAGCUGAGCUCUAUUUGCUGAUGAUAGUCUCUGUUCAGCUGUUUAAAAUGACUGUCUGACUCACCAUGGUAAUUUUUCACAAAUUAAAGACACAUUUUGGGUUGUGCAA